rnacentral:rRNA from 1 species
UACAGAGGUCCCAAGCGUUGUUCGGAUUUACUGGGCGUAAAGGGUGCGUAGGUGGCGGGGGAAGUCUGGUGUGAAAGCUCCGAGCUCAACUCGGAAAAGCAUUGGAAACUAUUCCGCUAGAGGGUCGGAGGGGAGACUGGAAUUCUCGGUGUAGCAGUGAAAUGCGUAGAUAUCGAGAGGAACACCAGUGGCGAAGGCGAGUCUCUGGACGACUCCUGACACUGAGGCACGAAAGCUAGGGGAGCAAACAGG